UAGAUUUGCCUUGGGAAGUUGUGGAGUUGUAGUCACUGGGGGUCAGAAGUCAAACAAGCAUCUGCCAGCACAGAUAGAGCUGACCCUGCCUCAGGCAGGGUGAUGGGCUGCCCGGCCACUGCUCUGCAGCUCCUUUCAACCCUCUUUGUUAUGAUGAUGUGGAAAGCAAAUUCUGCAUAAAAAUAACUCAAUGUGUUGCCUUAUUCUGUAUUUUCCUCUGCAAAGAAGGAGGCACAGGGUGUGCCCAGGAGGAAGAGAAGAGGAGUAAUGCCGCUGUGUCAAGGGGCACAAUGUGACUGAGCUGUGAAACCAACAUAAUUAUUACUUCCUUCCUUCUCUUUAUUAAUAAUAGACUUUUUUUUCCUGCUAUCAAGGUAGCCAGCUGUUGCCUAAGCCAUUAUUGCACUGUGCUCUGAGCUAUGUUUUGCAGGCUUUUUUUGUCCCCUCUCAGGAGACAUUUUCUUAUGAAGUGUUUUAUGAAGGCAAUGGAGCUGGAUGCUGGGGUACAAUGCACUGUGGCAUUUUGUGAACUGUUCCUCAUGUUCUGGAACAAACAGUGACUUUCUGACACAAGAAUCCUUUGCUUCCCAACUCCACACGAUAACUGGACUGCGGAGAAUUCAGAAGCUGUUUGAAAGUCAGGAUGCUUUUUCCCUACUUUCGGAUCCGCUGAGGGUAAACAGCUCUGCCCUCUAGUGCCGCUUCCCAAAUCUGUUAAAACGGAACACAUCGAUGAUCCUGGGAAUAUGUCUCACCCAGAGCAUCCCUUGGAGCACACUGAUCAGAGCCUGUCCGGGGCUACUCUGCACAUCGUGCUGAAACUAGGCAGCUGCUCUGUUAGAAGGGGUUUAGCCCCAUGCCGGGCAGGGGGGGGCACGGCACAUGCUGGCAUAUCCCCUGCACAGCAUCCAUAAGGGGAAAUACAGUACAUCACCACCGACUUUCCUGAAGAUGGUGUUUGGAAGACCCCUGCUGAUGAUGAUUCAGAUUCCUCCUGAAGGAUCUGCUGCUGGUUGAUGGGGAGUUGUCAAAAUGCAUUGUGCCACUGCAGGAGGAGCACAGGAUAGCCUGGGACUCUUGUUCCUCCUCUUCGAGGCUGAAGAGUUGACAAGUUUAAAAGGACACACCAUGAGCAGCUGAGUCUGUGGGAGAUGGAGGAAGAUCAGGAACCUCUGAGAGUUUUUGAGGCUUUGAAGAAUCAGACCCCAAGGAUGUUCAUCUAGAUAUUAAGGCCUGUGUUUGUAAGAGCAAUUGCUUUGCCAUGUUCUCCUUGAGGACCUGGCUGAGCAUCCAAAGAGGAGGUAUGCAUUGUCACUUCCAGGAGAGGCAGGCUGGUUGAUGUGACUGUAUCUGUUCUGAUGCUUUGAGCUUCUCGGCAUGCUGUGCCAUCACCAGCACUUGCUCCUAUAGAAGUUUUUGAUGCUCCUGUGCCCAGUAGCUUCUGUUUGCUGUUUACUCUCCUCUUCUCAUUCUGUACUUGGACACGGAGGUAGUUCUCAGUCUUGCAAAUGGGUUUGCUUCAGCCCUGGCGUGUUAGUGCUUCCCUCCUUCAUUCUUUCUAUGUGUGGUGCAGAUGUGGAGGCUCUGCCCACUGACCAGGGGCUGGCAGCUCACUGACUGAGCCAUCAGCACGGUAACUUUGGCUGUAGCAGUUUCUCUCAGUCUCUGUAGCUUUCUGGGUUAGGAGAUCCAUCAGCCUGAGGGUUUAUUUGCACUAGCACCAUGGGUGAGAAAACAAGCACUGCAUCAGGCCAUGUUUAUUUUAAAUCUCAGGAGCUGCUGGGAGCUGUGUCAGCCAAGGCAGUCCCACAGGCCCUGCUGCCUCCAAGGAGCUAGUCCUGCUGUCUGCCGGCUGUGAGGGCCAUCUCUUGGGAGGCAGUUGUACACACUCCCCCUUGCCUAAGCUCCAGCCCCUGGGAACACCAGGACUCUCCAGGCUGGGCUUGCUGGGAGCUCUCCUGGUUUUCCUGAGAGCACCAUGGUGCCGCUUGGCAGCCCAGGCAAUGGCAUAAAUGAUUUUCUAUCCUCUUGUCUCAAACAUUAAAGAUACUACAGUGAUGGAGAGAGGAAGGAAUAAUGCAGCUCAGGGAAGAGCUGUGCUCCUGCAGGGGUUGCACUGGGCACACUCAUUCUCCCAGUGUACACAGAGGGGUUUUUUAACCCUGAGAUCCCUCUUUGGUGCUGGUAAGGGUGUCUCAGGCUUGUGUGGGCAGCAAUAGUUUUCCUGUGGCUGCAGAGUGUGCUGGGGCUGAUCCCUCUGUGCUUUGGGGUGAGGGAGAGGCUCCAGC